rnacentral:rRNA from 1 species
GUGUUACUGCGAAGGGGGGACGGAGAAGGCUAUGUUGGCCGGGCGACGGUUGUCCCGGUUUAAGCGUGUAGGUGUGUGUUCCAGGUAAAUCCGGUUCACUUUAACACUGAGGCGUGACGACGAGGCACUACGGUGCUGAAGCAACAAAUGCCCUGCUUCCAGGAAAAGCCUCUAAGCAUCAGGUAACAUCAAAUCGUACCCCAAACCGACACAGGUGGUCAGGUAGAGAAUACCAAGGCGCUUGAGAGAACUCGGGUGAAGGAACUAGGCAAAAUGGUGCCGUAACUUCGGGAGAAGGCACGCUGACACGUAGGUGAAGUGAUUUACUCAUGGAGCUGAAGUCAGUCGAAGAUACCAGCUGGCUGCAACUGUUUAUUAAAAACACAGCACUGUGCAAACACGAAAGUGGACGUAUACGGUGUGACGCCUGCCCGGUGCCGGAAGGUUAAUUGAUGGGGUCAGCGCAAGCGAAGCUCCUGAUCGAAGCCCCGGUAAACGGCGGCCGUAACUAUAACGGUCCUAAGGUAGCGAAAUUCCUUGUCGGGUAAGUUCCGACCUGCACGAAUGGCGUAAUGAUGGCCAGGCUGUCUCCACCCGAGACUCAGUGAAAUUGAACUCGCUGUGAAGAUGCAGUGUACCCGCGGCAAGACGGAAAGACCCCGUGAACCUUUACUAUAGCUUGACACUGAACAUUGAGCCUUGAUGUGUAGGAUAGGUGGGAGGCUUUGAAGUGUGGACGCCAGUCUGCAUGGAGCCGACCUUGAAAUACCACCCUUUAAUGUUUGAUGUUCUAACGUGGACCCGUGAUCCGGGUUGCGGACAGUGUCUGGUGGGUAGUUUGACUGGGGCGGUCUCCUCCUAAAGAGUAACGGAGGAGCACGAAGGUUGGCUAAUCCUGGUCGGACAUCAGGAGGUUAGUGCAAUGGCAUAAGCCAGCUUGACUGCGAGCGUGACGGCGCGAGCAGGUGCGAAAGCAGGUCAUAGUGAUCCGGUGGUUCUGAAUGGAAGGGCCAUCGCUCAACGGAUAAAAGGUACUCCGGGGAUAACAGGCUGAUACCGCCCAAGAGUUCAUAUCGACGGCGGUGUUUGGCACCUCGAUGUCGGCUCAUCACAUCCUGGGGCUGAAGUAGGUCCCAAGGGUAUGGCUGUUCGCCAUUUAAAGUGGUACGCGAGCUGGGUUUAGAACGUCGUGAGACAGUUCGGUCCCUAUCUGCCGUGGGCGCUGGAGAACUGAGGGGGGCUGCUCCUAGUACGAGAGGACCGGAGUGGACGCAUCACUGGUGUUCGGGUUGUCAUGCCAAUGGCACUGCCCGGUAGCUAAAUGCGGAAGAGAUAAGUGCUGAAAGCAUCUAAGCACGAAACUUGCCCCGAG